CAUCUCGAUGGAUUAAACUCGAGGGGAUUUUCAUAUCUGGCAGGGUUUAAGUGUACAGCUGGAGGACAGACCAUGACACCCCAACCAGCUGGAAUGGUAUAACCUACAUCAAUCGAAAAUUCUUAGUUAUGUAAUGGAGAAUGAGACAGGAUUUGAUGCAGUUUUUGGACAUAUCCACAUCAAGGAUACAGGGAGCCUGCUUAUAAGGUUGGAUUAUAUGCUAAUGCUUGCAUUUACGGUUACCAUGUACCAAAAUCUUAAACAUGCACAUAAGUACUUUUUGUAUUUUAAUAUACUACCUCCGUUUCAAAUAUUGUAUUGAUUUUACUUUUUAAAGUCAAAGUUUAUCAGAUUGACCAUGUAAAGGGUAAUUUGGAAGAAACGGGGUUGAGAAUCGACUUUUA